GGUUACUGCUAUCGGUGUUCGCCUAAGCCAUGCGAGUCAUAUGUUCGUAAGAACAUGGCGUACUGCUCAGUAACACGUGGAUAACCUGCCCUUGGGUCCGGCAUAACCCCGGGAAACUGGGGAUAAUUCCGGAUAACGCAUAUAUGCUGGAAUGCUUUAUGCGUAAAAUGGAUUCGUCUGCCCAAGGAUGGGUCUGCGGCCUAUCAGGUAGUAGUGGGUGUAAUGUACCUACUAGCCUACGACGGGUACGGGUUGUGAGAGCAAGAGCCCGGAGAUGGAUUCUGAGACAUGAAUCCAGGCCCUACGGGGCGCAGCAGGCGCGAAAACUUUACAAUGCGGGAAACCGUGAUAAGGGGACACCGAGUGCCAGCAUCCUAUGCUGGCUGUCCGGGUGUGUAAAAUACACCUGUUAGCAAGGGCCGGGCAAGACCGGUGCCAGCCGCCGCGGUAACACCGGCGGCCCGAGUGGUGAUCGUGAUUAUUGGGUCUAAAGGGUCCGUAGCCGGUUUGGUCAGUCCUCCGGGAAAUCUGACAGCUUAACUGUUAGGCUUUCGGAGGAUACUGCCAGACUUGGAACCGGGAGAGGUAAGAGGUACUACAGGGGUAGGAGUGAAAUCUUGUAAUCCCUGUGGGACCACCUGUGGCGAAAGCGUCUUAC
rnacentral:rRNA from 1 species